AUGACCACGGCAUUGCAAUUCUCUGUCUAUGCGGACGCAAAUGCGCUGGCCUUCAUGAUUCCAGGACCUGGAAUCAUACCAGCUGAUGGGCUUCAAUCGAAGAAGGAUUGGCCGGUGCUGCCGGCUGGCGUCAAGUUCGAUCCCACGGAUCCGGAGCUGAUCGAGCACCUUGAGGCCAAAGUGAGUGCUGACAGCGCGAGAUCUCACGCUCUCAUCGAUCUGUUCAUACCAACCACCGACAGCGAGCACGGCAUAUGCUACACCCAACCUGAGAAACUUCCAGGUAUCACACAGAGUGGCCUAAGGAAGCAGAUCUUCCAGCGCAAUUCCAGGGCGUUCAAAAGGGGCACGUGGACGCGUCGCAAGAUACCGUCGGAGUGCGGCAUGCACGCGAUGUGGCACAAGACCAACAAUACCUUGCCGGUGAUGGUCAACGGCCGGCAGACGGGCAGCACAAAGGUUCUAGUGCUCCACACCAACAAGAACUUCGACCAGCAGAGGACCAACUGGGUGAUGCACCAGUACCACCUCGGGGACCUGGAGCAAGAGAAGGAGCGGGAGCUGGUCCUCUGCAAGAUUUUGUACCAGACGAACACUAGGGCCAGGAGUAAAAAGAUUAUAAGUUAG
rnacentral:rRNA from 1 species